rnacentral:lncRNA from 1 species
AAAUCCGUUAUUUAACAUUGUAAUUUUGGUUUACAGAAUUUGUAAGCUGUCAUAUAAAUAUCACUGUGUGAUAUACCAGUAUGUACGUUUGAAUUGGUUUGUGCCACAACAGUAACUACCUUGCUCCACAAGUUGGUAAGGAUUAGUAAUAUGUUAUUAGAAUUAUAAUGUAUUUCGUUUAAAAGGUUGAAUUAACUAUGGAGUAUGUUAAGCACAUAGUUUUGAUAAAGAGUUAUUUCCCUUGAGUUUAGAUGCUUUUAAUAUUUGUUUAAUUUAUCAAUGUUGUUAAUCUGAACAACUGAAUAUUAUAUGUAAAGACAUUAAUACUAUGAUUUGAUGAUUAAACAUAAUAUUUGAUCUCAUUAUGUUCAUAACUUAAAUGUAUUUUUAAAGUGUAAUGUUUUGUAUAAUACCAUUAUAUGUAAUGAAAGAAUAUUAUACUUAUCACGUGUAUUACUAAUUUAUUAUUUGAUCUGUAAAAUUAGUAUAACUUUAUCAUUGUUAUUACAGGGUGUUUUACGUUACUGAUUAAUAAAUAUCCUGAACCCUAGCAAAGCGACUUUAGUUUUCCUUGAGGCCUAAAAGUCAGCUAUUACACUA